GUUCUUUUCAGUACUGUGGGCUCAGAGGUCAGUGUUACAGUUGUGACUACAGAUGUAUGAUGGAUGCUAUGAUUGAUAUGGAUGCAUGUAGAUGCAUAUGGUUAGGAUCACAUCCCAGUGCUAUAACCCUUGCCAAUAGGGUAUAAGGUAUUUGUUAAUCCCACUUGGUGGUAGGUCGUGGAGGACUACUAUGCCCAGAUACGAUGUAUUGUAUCUUGAGAGGGCACAACAUGGUACAACGUAUUGUACGCAUGCUGUCGGACAGCAUGGGAGAUCGAUGGCGGUGUGGGAUUCCACCAUGUCUAUUAGGGGUUCUUAUUUAGGGGUUGGUUGGGAACCGAGGUUUUUUCUGGGACUAGCUAACUCUUGCUUGCAAUUAGCUUGUAUCUUUGAGGCCCAACGUAUAGGGUAAGAGAUACCACCUACAUUGCUUAUAACACUUAUACCCACAUAUUGAGACCUAGUAAUUAGAAUGAAUAUUAUUAAUAAAAUGGAUCAUGUGGCUGUACAUCUGUGGAUAUUAUUGUGAGUGUGUGUUAGCAUUAUGAUGUUGUGUGUGCUUGCAUGCUCACCCCUCACUGGGCUUGUGAAGCUCAUCCCUCGUGGAUUUAUGUUUUUAGAUGAUAGAACCUUAGCUGGAGUGGAUCGAGAAUCGACAAUGGUUGUGAGGUAGUGUCACUGAGGCAUGUGGUGGAGGACUGAGAUCUCCUUUGCUUUGAAGUUUUAUUAUUAUGCUUGUUAGAUAUAAUUAUAUUAUGGUAAUUGUGAUUUAUAAUUCAGUUGUGUCUAUAAUUAUUAUUUAUCAUUUAGAGUUAAUCACCAUAGGUUAUGUAAAAUAUAAAUUUUCCAUUAUAUGCGUACUCUGAUUUGGUUGAAGAUUUUGUACUUGUGUAAGUUCAUCUCUACAUUAGAUCUUGGUGGUUCAGGCUGACUGGUACGAUAAGGUAUCUAGUGCCGCAUACCUUGGUUUAAUGUGAGGCAGGGUGUGAUAAUAUGAUAUUAGAGCAAUGUAGUUAUGAACUUCGCAGGAUCCAAUGUCUUAGGUUGGUGGUGAUCAAUUAGGGUUGAAUUAAAACUCUCCAGAUAAGGGCAUAAAUCUUAGAGACAAUCUGGAGAGUAGUACAGGAGCAAAAUCCGAAAACACACAUAACAUAUAUAAGAAGAUCAUAACUUCAUUCACAUAGCUUUUUACAAUGCAAGUGACACAAAGAAACAUAAGAUAGAAGAAGAGAGGAAGAAAAAAAAAAAAUACACUCAAAGUGAAACACAUGGAACAUAAACACUUAAGAAUUAAGCCUAUAACAAAUAUAGGUCAGUAAAAAGAAAAAUCAAAAGAGGAGUAGGCUGUUCAUCACUGUUGAGGCUGUCGACUGGUGGAGGCUAAAGAUUGUUGAGUUCUAGAUUGGAACAAAGGAGGUCUGAACUCUGGUGGGACAUAUAAGAACUCCGCCAUACAUUGUACAAAGGUCUCUAGAGUAGUGACCCUGGAACCAAGAGGUGAGUCGGGUGUCCAUAGAGACAACACUAGAAUGCAUUUGAGAGAAUCCUCUCAAGAUAUAGUCCAUCAUUUCUCGCAUGUCAAGAUCACCUAUGGAAGUAGAAGGUGUAAAGGAACCCAUAGUGGAAAAUGAGGGAGGAGCAAGAAAGUAAUAGGAUAGAAUCGAACGAUAGAUAGAGGUGGAGAAAAUCUACCUCGUGGCAGUGAGAAUGGAUCCUGAGUCAUCUCCUGUGGUGUUUACCCAAAUUGACCAGUCUGAAGGAUCUCCUCGGAUGGUACAUGCCUAGGAACAUCUCCUACAUCCCCAUGGGGUAGGUGCCCAUCUAACUCAUCACCCUCAUCUCCAUCUCCCCCCACCAAAUUCCAUGCUCAUAUCCUUAAUGUCUAUACCCAUCUCCUAGUCAUCCCCAACCAUAGGCUCAAGAGCUGGAUCGGAUCAACAACUAGUGGAUCAACAGCUGGUGUCUCAUCAUCAUUGUCUGCCUACUGGUGUAAGUCCAUCUUCUCCAGAAUAUACCUAUCAAAUAGAGUAGGUGUAGUCUUCUUCACCUCACCAUCCAAGCAGAUUCCGAACUGUCAGACUAUUUUGGUUAAGGUCUUUCCAUGGAGUAAGUGACCAUCUCUUGGGCGACUGGCUCAGUGUGCCAUCUAUCUCAUUAUAAGAUAAGGUAAGCUGAUCCGCUCAGCCACAUAUAGGAAAAAAUUUGUGUAUGCCUGCAUCAAGGAUACCUCACUAAAAGACCACAAAUAGGUAGUAUAUUAUACUGCACUACCUUGCAUAGUACUCUUGGAGUAGGUUGCCAGUUAGCAAUCAAGGUCCAGUUUGCCUCUCCCCCUGCUACUACCACUUCUCGCACAUUGUCCCACUCAACGUCAGUGAAGUAGCUCUGGAAGUUGGUCCUAGGAGGACAGUAAGUUUUCUUGCACUCACUUGAGACACCAAUGGCCUGACCAAAUUCUGCUAUGAUCAAGGUGAUGUUUGUGCCACCCUCCUUGCUGGUGAUACAAUACUCUCCACCCCUAAUAUGUUUACGACUAAGGUUGCAAUAGAAGGCCCUAACAAGUCUAGGAUACACAUCUUCCUCUACUUUGAGUAUGGCUUCCCAACCUAAAGCCUCAAAUUUUUUCCAAACACCGAAAGUUUGACGAUCCAUUAUGAUAAUAGGCUUUUCAACAGCAAUGGGACGGGAAGAGAAGCUGCCCUAAUUUGCUUGGUUGGUUGGAGUGCGAAACCUAGUGGGCCAUUUGACCAAUCAGGAUGGUGGCAAUCAUGCUACCUAUAAAUCUUGGUGAAGACAUUGUAAACUACACAUCAAAAACACCAAGAACAAGUAAAUGCAACAAAAUAAUGAAAAGGAUUGUAAGAAAUUGCAAGGAAACCUAGGUAACCAUAUUCCCUAAAAGAAAACAAUUUUUACUAUGAAAUUGGUGAAAUAGGAAAGAAUGCACUUCCUGGUAAUGAUGUAUGGAGGUGGAAACACGAGAAAAUAGCCGUGAAAGUAUUAGAAUGAAGUAUUGCGGUAUAUCAGUGAAGAAGCUCUCAGCAAUUGGAUAUCUGAAAUGAAGAUUGGAGCUCUCAAGUAGAAUUUUUAUAUCUAUAGUCAGGUGAACCAGCUAGUAGAUCGUGGUCCCUAACCUGCCUGUUGUAACCUGCUGGUUGAGCAAAUUUUACCCAGUAAACCCUGAUAUUUUUAUGGUGCAAUAUGUGGAGUUUAAGUUUUAUUUUAAGAUCAUAAAAUUGAAAUUUUAAGGUGCAUAAGUGAGAUGUGUGCUAAGCAUGGAAGAGAGGUAUGGUUCCAGUUUGAGAACAUAAUUUGGAACAGGGAAACAUGUGUGCAAGAUAAUUUGAAUGCAAUUGAGGAUAACUAAAAAUGUGUGGGAAUAGGAAUGUGAUCUUGAUGUAAUUUACAGAUUAAGGUUUUAAAGGAUUGGAGAUACUUUCGGAUUUGCAUGUGUGAAUUUGGGAAUGAAUUCUUUAAAUGAGAGGAAAAUUUAAAGUAUAUAAAUACUAAUGUGGAAAAAAAAAAAAGGAUGCUAUGAAUCAUUAGAAAUUUUUGGAAGUUAUGGUGGCAACAUAUAAAUUGCAUUGCUAAGAAAAUUGAUGGAUACAAUUGCACUAAAUUUUGAAAAUGCAUAAUAAAUAAUAAAGGAAUAUCUAUGACAGUGGGUGGAAAUUAACUGCCUGAUUUGGGGCUAGAUGUAUACAGAUGUGAGAAUGUGAUAUGAUCUCGAUGAUAAACUGAUUUUGAAUUUGUAGAGGAAUAAUAAACUGAGUUAUGAUAUUUGAAGAUAUUUUCAAGUUUUCCCAUUUAGAUCUAGGAAUACUUUGGUGGAUGACAUGGGAUUAAGUAUAUUGACCAUAUGUAGCAAUAUGGAAAAAGGAAGAAGAAAAGUAUGGAACCUUGGAAAAUUCUAGGAUUUAUGACGGAUAAUUUGAGCAUCGCACUAUCAAGAAUUAUUGGAAUUCCAGUGGUUCCGAUAAAAAGUGAGGUGGUUAAUGGUCUAAGAAGAGAUCGAGGUAAAUUAAUUAGGAUAUUAAGCAGAUGUAUACAAGUAGUUGACCUUGUUAUGAAUAGUAAAGUUAGAGACCCUUAGAAUUAAAAAUCCUAAUUCCGAUAUUUGCACCCAAGAGGAAACUGGAGUUUAGAACCUUAUUGAGAAGAAAAGAGAGUGAUAUUCUGAGGGUCUCUGUGAUCCACACUAAGAUUAGGUGUGGGUAUGAAUAGUAAUACAAUAUACCAGUAGAAAGGAAACAAAAAUGAUACUAAGUCAUGCAGUAAAGAAGUAAAGAAUUAAGUUUGCGAAAUAUAAUAUCCAAGUGAUUUUCCCUACAUCCAAAUGCUAAGGGAGAACUAGAAGAAACUAGUAUAGAAGAGAGGUUAAAGUGCUCGGCUAAAAUUUUGGUGUACCUAGCCAUGUAGCCGUGUUAUAAGUGGAGCUAAUAAAUAUACAAAUUAGAGGUUAAGAGUGGUAUUGAAGUAUUGGAAUGGAUCCUCUGUGAUGAAUAGUCUCACAAAUUUCGAGGAGAAAUUUAAAUAAGGAGGGGGGAAUUGUAACACCCUGAAUUUUGAAACAGCUGAUCCCCUGUGUCAGGACCAAGCUGGCACAAGGAUUGUAGGCUAUCUUACUGUGGACCCACAUGUACAGCAGUAGGAGGGAGAAAUUGGCAGAUUUACUAGCCAACUAGGAGGGGUGAAAUAAUAAAAAAUAUGUGAAAUCAGUCCCACACAUGAUGGACUAUGUAGGAUAGAGGAUUAGGCAGCUGGAAGGCUAAAAAUGAGGCAACCGGUAGGUUACCUUGCUGACAACCAUCUAGCAGGUUUCCUUGCUGACAACCAUCUAGCAGGUUUUGGUAACUGAAUGUUGGAAAUUGGGUUUUUCACUUAUGGGGCCCACUUCUCUGCAGCAUUGCUCCUUACACUUCCACCAUGUGUUGGGGUUUAUUUGAGGAUUUUAACCCACCAUAUACCUUAGUGGGCAGUGGGGCCUACAGGGAGUUAUGAGAUGUUAAAUUAUUGAAUUAAUUUAAAUCAAUUUAUAGGGUCUAGCCAAACAGACCCUAAGGUCUUAUUUGGGUUGGCUAUAAAUACUUUCUAUCAGCCCUAAUGUCUCAUUUAUGCCAUACAGGAAUUGGUAAUAGAAAAGAAAAGAAAGGAAAAGAAAGAAGAGGAAGGAGAAGAAGAAGAAGAUAAAGAAGAAGGAGAGAAGGGAAGAGAGCUUCUACACCUAGGGCUGCUAUUGAAUAGCUCAGCCAACAGAUGGUGGAACCUAAGCUGAAGUGAAUCGAGACUCGGCAAUGGUUGUGACGUUGUGUCAGUGAGACAUGUUGUGGAGUAUUGAGAUUUUCUUUGUUUUGAGGUUUUAUUAUUAAGCUUGUAAGAUAUGAUUAUAUUAUAGUAAUUGUGAGUUAUAAUUCAA